rnacentral:rRNA from 1 species
AGAGUUUGAUCAUGGCUCAGGAUGAACGCUGGCGGCAGGCCUAAUACAUGCAAGUCGAACGGAUGUAGCAAUACAUUAGUGGCGCACGGGUGCGAAACGCGUGGGAACAUACCCCUUGGUAAGGAAUAAUAUCUGGAAACGGAUACUAAUACCUUAUAAUGACUUCGGUCCAAAGAUUUAUCGCCAGGGGAUUGGCCCGCGUCUGAUUAGCUAGUUGGUGAGGUAAUGGCUCACCAAGGCGACGAUCAGUAGCUGGUCUGAGAGGAUGAUCAGCCACACUGGGACUGAGACACGGCCCAGACUCCUACGGGAGGCAGCAGUGGGGAAUAUUGGACAAUGGGCGCAAGCCUGAUCCAGCAAUGCCGCGUGGGUGAAGAAGGUCUUCGGAUUGUAAAGCCCUUUCGGCGGGGACGAUGAUGACGGUACCCGCAGAAGAAGCCCCGGCUAACUUCGUGCCAGCCGCCGCGGUAAUUC